UACGAAGGGGGCUAGCGUUGUUCGGAAUUACUGGGCGUAAAGGGCGCGUAGGCGGUCCCUCAAGUCAGGCGUGAAAGCCCCGGGCUCAACCUGGGAACCGCGCUUGAGACUGAUGGGCUAGAGUUCGGGAGAGGAUGGUGGAAUUCCUAGUGUAGAGGUGAAAUUCGUAGAUAUUAGGAAGAACACCAGUGGCGAAGGCGGCUCACUGGUCCGGUACUGACGCUGAGGUGCGAAAGCGUGGGGAGCAAACAGG
rnacentral:rRNA from 1 species